rnacentral:pre_miRNA from 1 species
CGCAUACUCCCUCCGUCCCAAAAUUUGUGUCUUAGAUUUUUCUAGAUACUGAUGUAUCUAACACUAAAAUGUAACUAGAUACAUCCGUAUUUAGACAAAUCUAUGACAAGAAUUUUGGGACGGGGGGAGUAUAAA